CCGCUGAAAGCAUCUAAGUGGGAAGCCCACCUUAAGAUGAGUGUUCUCACUACGAGAGUAGGUAAGGUCACGGGAAGAACACCCGUUGAUAGGCUUUAUGUGGAAGUACAGUAAUGUAUGUAGCAGAGAAGUCCUAACAGACCGAGGGCUUGACCUCAG
rnacentral:rRNA from 1 species